rnacentral:lncRNA from 1 species
GUUGAUAUUAGCAAUAGUGAUAGCAUGCGUGCAAUGAAUAAUGUAGUCCAUAGACGUUGGUCGGAUGAAAUGGAUGACUAUCCUGUUUGGUAGAUGCAUAGAUGUCCUGUGUUGCUAGAGCCUUUGAUUAGGUCUCUUUUUGUUUAACGAUCUCUUUUCGAGUUUUGUACCCUUAGUCUGCAUUCUUGUGCUUUCAUGGAUUUUAUUUUUCUUUUUCUUUUAUAUUAAAC